rnacentral:rRNA from 1 species
AGAAUCAACGCUGGCGGCGUGCCUAACACAUGCAAGUCGAACGAGAAAGUGGAGCAAUCCAUGAGUAAAGUGGCGCACGGGUGAGUAACACGUGACUAACCUACCCGUUGAGUGGGGGAUAACCUAGAGAAAUCUGGGCUAAUACCGCAUAAUACCUUCGGGGUCAAAGGAGCAAUUCGCUUAAGGAGGGGGUCGCGGCCGAUUAGUUAGUUGGCGGGGUAAUGGCCCACCAAGACUAUGAUCGGUA